UACGUAGGGUGCAAGCGUUAAUCGGAAUUGCUGGGCGUAAAGCGUGCGCAGGCGGUUUUGUAAGUCUGAUGUGAAAUCCCCGGGCUCAACCUGGGAAUUGCAUUUGUGACUGGAAGGCUAGAGUGUGUCAGAGGGGGGUAGAAUUCCACGUGUAGCAGUGAAAUGCGUAGAGAUGUGGAGGAACACCGAUGGCGAAGGCAGCCCCCUGGGUCAAGAUUGACGCUCAUGCACGAAAGCGUGGGGAGCAAACAGG
rnacentral:rRNA from 1 species